CCACCCCGGGCUGCGGGUCCCCUGCCCGGCUGGGGAGGGCUGCCCACCGUCCAGCUGUCCGGCCUCGGGCUCCUGCUGACUGCCGUCCCCACUGCCCUGCAGGCCGUCUGCUGCAUCCACCGCGGGCCCCGAGGGGAGGUCCAGGCACUUGCUGAGA